rnacentral:rRNA from 1 species
GAUGAACGCUGGCGGCGUGCCUAAUACAUGCAAGUCGAGCGAACAGACGAGGAGCUUGCUCCUCUGACGUUAGCGGCGGACGGGUGAGUAACACGUGGAUAACCUACCUAUAAGACUGGGAUAACUUCGGGAAACCGGAGCUAAUACCGGAUAAUAUAUUGAACCGCAUGGUUCAAUAGUGAAAGACGGUUUUGCUGUCACUUAUAGAUGGAUCCGCGCCGCAUUAGCUAGUUGGUAAGGUAACGGCUUACCAAGGCAACGAUGCGUAGCCGACCUGAGAGGUUGAGCGGCCACACUGGAAAUGAGACACGGUCAAGACUCCUACGGGAGGCAGCAGUAGGGAAUCUUCCGAAAUGGGCGAAAGCCUGACGGAGCAACGCCGCGUGAGUGAUGAAGGUCUUCGGAUCGUAAAACUCUGUUAUUAGGGAAGAACAAAUGUGUAAGUAACUAUGCACGUCUUGACGGUAACUAAUCAGAAAGCCACGGCUAACUACGUG